AUGGAGUGGGGCUGGAGGCUUCUCUUUUUGCCGGCAGCUGCCUCAGGUAAGGAGCCCCUUGCCCACUCCCAGGUCCAGCUGGUGCAGUCUGGGGCUGAGGUGAAGAAGCCUGGAGAGUCUGUGAAGGUCUCCUGCAAGGCUUCUGGAUACACCUUUACCAGCUAUGGCGUGACCUGGGUGCGACAGGAACCAAGGAAGGGCCUUCAGUUGAUGUGUUGGAUUAACACAGACACUGGAAAGCCAACAUACGCUGAGGGAUUCACAGGACGAUUUGUCUUCUCCACGGACACCUCUGUCAGCACAGCGUAUCUACAGAUCAGCAGCCUGAAGACAGAGGACACGGCCGUGUAUUACUGUGCGAGAGACACAGUGUGA